UGAGUAACCUGCCCUUAACUCUGGGAUAAGCCUGGGAAACUGGGUCUAAUACCGGAUAUGACUCCUCAUCGCAUGGUGGGGGGUGGAAAGCUUUUGUGGUUUGGUU
rnacentral:rRNA from 1 species